rnacentral:tRNA from 1 species
AAGGGUAUAGCUCAGUGGUAGAGCUUGUGCCUUGCAUGCACAAGGUCCUACAUUCAAUCCUCAGUACCUCCA